rnacentral:rRNA from 1 species
UACGGGAGGCAGCAGUGGGGAAUAUUGGACAAUGGGCGCAAGCCUGAUCCAGCCAUGCCGCGUGAGUGAUGAAGGCCUUAGGGUUGUAAAGCUCUUUCACCGGUGACGAUAAUGACGGUAACGCGAGAAGAAGCCCCGGCUAACUUCGUGCCAGCAGCCGCGGUAAUACGAAGGGGGCUAGCGUUGUUCGGAAUUACUGGG